rnacentral:snoRNA from 1 species
UCACUGUGAAAAUGGUUUUCUGACCAUUUGAGGUUUCCACCAGAAAGGUAUUUCCUCAGUGUUGGGUAAGCUUCCUUGGAUGUGUGA